rnacentral:rRNA from 1 species
CACGUAGGGUGCGAGCGUUGUCCGGAAUUAUUGGGCGUAAAGAGCUCGUAGGCGGUGUGUCGCGUCGAUCGUGAAAACUUGGGGCUUAACCCUGAGCUUGCGGUCGAUACGGGCAUCACUUGAGUUCGGCAGGGGAGACUGGAAUUCCUGGUGUAGCGGUGAAAUGCGCAGAUAUCAGGAAGAACACCAAUGGCGAAAGCAGCUUUCUGGGACGGUACUGACGCUGAGACGCGAAAGCGUGGGGAGCGAACAGG